AUUGAACGCUGGCGGCAGGCCUAACACAUGCAAGUCGAGCGGAUGACGGGAGCUUGCUCCUUGAUUCAGCGGCGGACGGGUGAGUAAUGCCUAGGAAUCUGCCUGGUAGUGGGGGACAACGUUUCGAAAGGAACGCUAAUACCGCAUACGUCCCACGGGAGAAAGCAGGGGACCUUCGGGCCUUGCGCUAUCAGAUGAGCCUAGGUCGGAUUAGAUAGUUGGUGGGGUAAUGGCUCACCAAGGCGACGAUCGGUAACUGGUUUGAGAGGAUGAUCAGUCACACUGGAACUGAGACACGGUCCAGACGCCUACGGGAGGCAGGAGUGGGGAAUAUUGGACAAUGGGCGAAAGCCUGAUCCAGCCAUGCCGCGUGUGUGAAGAAGGUCUUCGGAUUGUAAAGCACUUUAAGUUGGGAGGAAGGGCAGUAAGUUAAUACCUUGCUGUUUUGACGUUACCGACAGAAUAAGCACCGGCUAACUCUGUGCCAGCAGCCGCCGUAAAAC
rnacentral:rRNA from 1 species